UCUCUGGUGGUCUAGUGGUUAGGAUUUGGCACUUUCACUGUCAACGCUUGGGUUCAAUUCCCAGCCAGGGAA